rnacentral:rRNA from 1 species
AUUGAACGCUGGCGGCAUGCCUUACACAUGCAAGUCGAACGGUAACAGGUCUUCGGAUGCUGACGAGUGGCGAACGGGUGAGUAAUACAUCGGAACGUGCCUAGUAGUGGGGGAUAACUACUCGAAAGAGUGGCUAAUACCGCAUGAGAUCUACGGAUGAAAGCAGGGGAUCGCAAGACCUUGUGCUACUAGAGCGGACGAUGGCAGAUUAGGUAGUUGGUGGGAUAAAAGCUUACCAAGCCGACGAUCUGUAGCUGGUCUGAGAGGACGAUCAGCCACACUGGGACUGAGACACGGCCCAGACUCCUACGGGAGGCAGCAGUGGGGAAUUUUGGACAAUGGGCGCAAGCCUGAUCCAGCAAUGCCGCGUGCAGGAUGGAGGCCUUCGGGUUGUAAACUGCUUUUGUACGGAACGAAAAGCCCUGGGUUAAUACCCUGGGGUCAUGACGGUACCGUAAGAAUAAGCACCGGCUAACUACGUGCCAGCAGCCGCCGUAACAC